GCUUACCAUGCAAGUCGAACGGCAGCACGGGUGCUUGCACCUGGUGGCGAGUGGCGAACGGGUGAGUAAUACAUCGGAACGUACCUUGUAGUGGGGGAUAGCUCGGCGAAAGCCGGAUUAAUACCGCAUACGCUCUGAGGAGGAAAGCGGGGGACCUUCGGGCCUCGCGCUACAAGAGCGGCCGAUGUCAGAUUAGCUAGUUGGUGAGGUAAAAGCUCACCAAGGCGACGAUCUGUAGCUGGUCUGAGAGGACGACCAGCCACACUGGGACUGAGACACGGCCCAGACUCCUACGGGAGGCAGCAGUGGGGAAUUUUGGACAAUGGGCGAAAGCCUGAUCCAGCAAUGCCGCGUGUGUGAAGAAGGCCUUCGGGUUGUAAAGCACUUUUGUCCGGAAAGAAAUCCUCUGGGUUAAUACCUCGGGGGGAUGACGGUACCGGAAGAAUAAGCACCGGCUAACUACGUGCCAGCAGCCGCGGUAAUACGUAGGGUGCAAGCGUUAAUCGGAAUUACUGGGCGUAAAGCGUGCGCAGGCGGUUUUGUAAGACGGAUGUGAAAUCCCCGGGCUUAACCUGGGAACUGCAUUCGUGACUGCAAGGCUAGAGUAUGGCAGAGGGGGGUAGAAUUCCACGUGUAGCAGUGAAAUGCGUAGAGAUGUGGAGGAAUACCGAUGGCGAAGGCAGCCCCCUGGGCCAAUACUGACGCUCAUGCACGAAAGCGUGGGGGAGCAAACAGGAUUAGAUACCCUGGUAGUCCACGCCCUAAACGAUGUCAACUAGUUGUUGGGGAUUCAUUUCCUUAGUAACGUAGCUAACGCGUGAAGUUGACCGCCUGGGGAGUACGGUCGCAAGAUUAAAACUCAAAGGAAUUGACGGGGACCCGCACAAGCGGUGGAUGAUGUGGAUUAAUUCGAUGCAACGCGAAAAACCUUACCUACCCUUGACAUGUACGGAAUCCUGCUGAGAGGUGGGAGUGCUCGAAAGAGAACCGUAACACAGGUGCUGCAUGGCUGUCGUCAGCUCGUGUCGUGAGAUGUUGGGUUAAGUCCCGCAACGAGCGCAACCCUUGUCCUUAGUUGCUACGCAAGAGCACUCUAAGGAGACUGCCGGUGACAAACCGGAGGAAGGUGGGGAUGACGUCAAGUCCUCAUGGCCCUUAUGGGUAGGGCUUCACACGUCAUACAAUGGUCGGUACAGAGGGCUGCCAAACCGCGAGGUGGAGCUAACCCCAGAAAACCGAUCGUAGUCCGGAUCGCAGUCUGCAACUCGACUGCGUGAAGCUGGAAUCGCUAGUAAUCGCGGAUCAGCAUGUCGCGGUGAAUACGUUCCCGGGUCUUGUACACACCGCCCGUCACACCAUGGGAGUGGGUUUUGCCAGAAGUAGGUAGCCUAACCGCAAGGAGGGCGCUA
rnacentral:rRNA from 1 species